rnacentral:lncRNA from 1 species
CAAGGGCAAGAUGGAUGAAAUUGAAGAUGGCGAAGACAAGUUCUAGACAGCAUCUAAAACUAUCAACGUCAUUUUUGGUGGAAUUCCAGGAACUGCCUCCAAGCAAUCCAACAAAUUAGUACUUAGAGAAAUCAUGGCUAUCGAACCAGCCACCCCCACACCUCUCAAAUGAUCUGAGGUACCCAUUACCUUCAGUAGAAAGGAUCAAUGGACUAACU